UGCAGUAAGGACAGCAAUCCGCAGGUCUCAGUCCAUUUGUUUUUCACACCAAAUCCAUCACGGUAAUGGGUCACCUUUCUGUGGCAGCUCAUGAUUACCUGCUUACCGGGCAGCGCGGCAGUGCUGAGAUCUAAUUUGGAGGCACUGAAAGUAGAGCUUCAUGAGAAGUAUGAUUAUUAGAAAAUGCCUGUGGAGCUCCAAGAUGAGACACAGUGAAUAUGUAAAUAGACUGCAAAUUUGUCUCCUUACGCAUAGAGAUAUGCUACCAUCCCCAGAACAGCCGAUUGACACAGCUGCCCACUGCACCCACUGCACUCUCAGAGCUGGGAUGGAAGCAGUACACAUCCUGCAGGUUAUAAGCCUUCAUCUUUCCACCCAGACCUACUCAGGUCUUCUCUACAGACCCACCAUUGAAACUCUGGAUACUUUCCACUUCCUUGGAGUUUGUUCAUUUUAACAUGGGUUUUGAUGAGAAAUCUUUAACAUUACUCCCCACUAUCAUUUUACUGUAAAAAUGAGCUUGUCAAAGUUUGAAGAUUGAAACUGUAAAACACUUUUUUUCCCUUCUCUGCUAAUUUCUUUUAAAUGAAUACCAUCUUAAUUACAACCCGCUGCUCGUUAUGAAACAAAUCACUGGGAAAUUAGUUGUCCUUUCAGUUGCUUAUGUCUCUGCUUUACAAAAAUGGAAACGUCUUACAAAAUCCUCUGCAGGCUCAGACCUUUCCAGCACUCCACUCACAGGUGCCUCA